rnacentral:rRNA from 1 species
UACGGGGGGGGGCAAGCGUUGUUCGGAAUUACUGGGCGUAAAGAGUGUGUAGGCGGUGCUCUAAGUUCGGUGUGAAAUCUCCCUGGCUCAACUGGGAGGGUGCGCCGGAAACUGGAGUGCUUGAGCGUGGGAGAGGAAAGCGGAAUUCCUGGUGUAGCGGUGAAAUGCGUAGAUAUCAGGAGGAACACCUGUGGUGUAGACGGCUUUCUGGACCAUAGCUGACGCUGAGACACGAAAGCGUGGGUAGCAAACAGG